rnacentral:rRNA from 1 species
ACGAACGCUGGCGGCGUGCUUAACACAUGCAAGUCGAACGGAAAGGCCCUGCUUUUGUGGGGUGCUCGAGUGGCGAACGGGUGAGUAACACGUGAGUAACCUGCCCUUGACUUUGGGAUAACUUCAGGAAACUGGGGCUAAUACCGGAUAGGAGCUCCUGCUGCCUGGUGGGGGUUGGAAAGUUUCGGCGGUUGGGGAUGGACUCGCGGCUUAUCAGCUUGUUGGUGGGGUAGUGGCUCACCAAGGCUUUGACGGGUAGCCGGCCUGAGAGGGUGGCCGGCCACAUUGGGACUGAGAUACGGCCCAGACUCCUACGGGAGGCAGCAGUGGGGAAUAUUGCACAAUGGGCGGAAGCCUGAUGCAGCAACGCCGCGUGCGGGAUGACGGCCUUCGGGUUGUAAACCGCUUUCGCCUGUGACGAAGCGUGAGUGACGGUAAUGGGUAAAGAAGCACCGGCUAACUACGUG